GUGUCAUAUGAGCAGCCUGGAUUACUGUAAGACACAGAGGAAAGCUCAGUCUCAGUGACGAUCUGCUUCAGCAUGAGGACCCUUCCUGUCAGCUUUCUCCUGCUGCUGUCUGUCUGGAGUGUGUGUGUAUGGGCUGACAGCGGGAGGAUACGACAGAAGCGUGCAUGGAUCAUUGAUUCGUUUAGUAUUGAGGAAGAACACCCUGGUCCGUUUCCAUACCCAAUAGGCAAGGUUGAACUCGACAGGUCUUAUUUAGUAAAUUAUGAACUACAUGGUCAGGGUGUGGAUAUAGAGCCAAAGAAUAUUCUCAGUAUCGAUAAAUCAGGUGUUGUUUAUGUAAACGGAACGGUGGACUAUGAACACGGCCCUAAAGUUCUCCGUUUGGCAUUUGAAGCAAGAAAUCAAUAUAAUAAAGAAGUGGAUACAAGACUUGGGGUUGAGAUCAAAAUAUUGGACGUAAAUGACAACGCACCAAAAUUUCAAAAGUCAGUCUAUGAAGUGACUGUGGAUGAGUCACAUGAUCAAGGCAAAGAAGUACUGACUGUACUGGCUUUUGAUGAGGAUGAUUCAAGUACAAACAAUGGAACAUUCGUUUUCACAAUCAAGUCUGUCACACCAAAGACAGAUAAUGUUGAAUUUUAUAUUCAGCAGCGAAAAGAAUCUGGGACCAUUCAUUUUAAGGGGUGUUUGGACUUUGAGAAAGCUCAGAAAUACACAAUCCUUGUUGAAGCAAAGGACAAAGGAGAAAAGAUACAGCUCUCAAGUACAAGUACACUGAUAAUCAAUAUUUCAGACAAUAACAACAAUCUUCCAGAGUUCUCUGGCAAAACGGGGCCAGGGAAGGUCAAGGAGAGAGAAGCUGGGGUUGAAGUUCUGCGACUGCAAGUAACAGACAAAGAUGUCCAUGGUACAAAAGCUUGGAAAGCCAAAUACACAAUCCACGGAGAUAAAAAUGAGAUAUUCAAAAUAGAAACAGACCCUGUUACGAAUGAAGGGAUUUUAACAGUUGUUAAGCAAACGGACUACGAGGAGCAAACAAAUCACAAUCUGUCCAUCAGUGUGCAGAAUGAAAUUCCUUACUUUUCCUGUAAGAUUAAAAAGAAAGUACAGAAUGCCAUGUGGGAGCUCGACAAAAUACUCCCAAACUCUGACACACGUUCUGCAAACCUCUAUAACACCUUUCCAGUGACCAUUUAUGUAGAAGAUGUCAAUGACCCUCCGGUGUUCAUACCCCCUGUUAAACACGUUGUGGUAAUGGAGAACAUAGAUGUAGGAACAAGUCUUACAACCUUCACCGCUAAAGAUAUGGAUGGAAGCCACGUAAACACAUUUACAUUCGUUAAAGGUGAAGAUAUUGAUAAAUGGAUAACUAUUGGUGCAAAGACUGGAGAAGUAUCCACAAUUAAAAUUCUGGAUAGAGAGUCACCAUUUGUGAUAAACGGCACCUAUACAGCAACCCUGUAUGCUGUUGAUGAAGGUGUUCCUCCGCUGACAGGCACUGGAACUCUAGUGAUUCACCUGAAUGAUCAAAAUGAUAACGUACCAAUUCUGGAGAGGAAUGCAGUCAGCAUUUGCAUAGAUAAAGAGCCCACAACGGCCAACAUCACAGCCGUAGACCUGGACUUUCCUCCAUUUGGAUCGCCUUUCUACUAUGAGAUUUUAGAAGAUGUUAAGGACAAAUGGAGGGUUGAACCAGCUCAUGGCACAACAGUGAGUCUUGUAAAAGGAAAAGGUGUGUAUUCAGGUCAUCACCUCCUCCAGAUGAAAAUAUCAGACCAGCAGGGAUUUUACUCCAUCCAGAACCUGACGGUCACGGUGUGUGACUGCUCUGUCACUCCCAACUGCCACAUCAGGAUGGUCUCGCAGACUCGGAUGGGGCCUGGUGCCGCCUUGAUAGUUGUUCUCGCAAUUCUGAUUCUUUCAGCAAUGUGCUUAAUGAGUCUACUGUUAUCCUGUAAGGAAAAUAAAAAAAUGAUUUUGAUAGAUGAUGGCCUCGGUCAUCUCAUCACAUCAAAUACAGAAAAUCCAGGAACAGACUGCAUGGUGUCUUCCAGUUUAGUUAUUCACAAAACUGAUUCUUCCAAAGUAAACGGAACAAGUGUGACUAAAAAUGUAAAGGUCACAACACAAACUGUGAUGCAAUAAAGGACAGAAGGCUGUUUCACAGACUCCAUGGUUAGUUUACAACGACCAGAUGUUCAAACACUCAACGUACAGGAAUUCCACAAGACGUACAUACAGAGAAAAUUUUCAGAAAUCGUGUGUCAUAUCAAGUUCUAGAAGCAAUUAUUCUUACAACAUCAAUGCAUCUUACUUGAGUGAAAACCUUGCCUUUCUCAUCCACCAGAAACUACUUGCUCUCCAAACCCGUGAUGAGCAACGUGGUAUUUACAAAGCGCACUGUUACACAGAUGAAGGACAACCUGCAGCCAGUGAUGAACUGGACGCAAUAUCCAUUCCAGAGGACGACUUUCAUCCAGAGAUGCUUAAAAAUCUGGACAGCAGGUUCAGUCGGCUAGCAACAAUCUCCAGACCUGACCUGAUGAGAAGGUGAACAUUAUCUCAGGAAGUGUAGCCUAUAAAUAUUUAGGACAAAAUGCAAAAAAAUGAAUUUUUACUACAUUUCUACAGUAUCAAUGAUCCUGAAGGCAAAAAUACAGUGCUUGCAAAGCAACAAAGGAAUAUAGCAUAAAUAGUUUUAGGUGAGCUCAGGGUUUUGGCUUUUGUUCUGUUUAUUUUCUUUCUGGAAGGUGUUUUUUUUUUCACUGUGUUCAUGUGCAAUAAUUUGCAGACAUUUAAUCCCCCCAAAAUAGGGUGUUAUAAUUAUUUGAUGAAACCUCCUCUAAGAGAACACGGGUGGAUGGUGAUAGUAGCGUUUUUAGUUGCUGAUAUGCGUGUUGAAGAGAAUGUAUAUUUUGACUGUGUCAUGUAAACUCCUGACUUAUCUGAGUCUGUUGUUCCCCUGGGCGUGAAACUGCUCUGUUGUUUUAGGUGUUUUUAAUCCUUAACUGUAAAAACGUGAAACUCUGACUUGUUUUUUAGUGUUAUUUGUACACUGGUGUAUGGGAAUCGAUGAACAUUUAAUAAAACUCUUUGUUUAAUCUA